AACGGGGGAAGUCGGUCCAGAGUCACUGCGCCGCGCGGUUAUGUGAGCAAGCCGUGGGCUAGGUACCGCUCCAGGUCAGACAAUGGUUGGCACUGAAGAGUGCGGCGACACUACAGAGCUGUGAACGAAGACGGUGAACGGCGAGAUGUGGUGACCGCUUGACUGACCUGUGCCCAAAGUCGUGAUCUACCGCUGGGGUCAGUGCGUGAGAAGCUGGACUCGGCAACAACGGAGGACGCAGAUCGACGAGGAAGAUAUGCUGUGUUGAGGGACGUCUGCCGGUUACGACCGGAAGGCUUCCGACGGGACUUGGCAGAACCCACAACAGCAGUAUGAACCCGGCGUGGAGUUAAUGCGUAAUUGCUCGCAUGAGCAACCGAAGAGCGACUUCCAGGCGAAGCUGCCGCAGAAUUCCUGGAGAUGCGCUGGGAUAUGGAUCAUAGCAAGGUGGCUCUCAGCGGCAGCUGACCGCUGAGAUGUGUGUGAAACAGCCCGAAGGAAGACUCGAGUUGUGGAUCCAGGGCACUACUGAACGGAAGGCCGGACCAGCUGUAGGGAGACUACAGAAAAGCCGUCGUUCUCAAUCUGCUGAACAGACUCCUACUGCAGAGGAUCAACUGGGGUUCGACGUGUUAGAACUGGGGUUAGACCGGUUACCAGUGCUCGUGUUCGUCACCUGUUGUUUGUCACUGCUGCGCUGCUGCUGUAAUGUUUUCCACCUGCUAAGCGUUCACAAUGUAUUUUAAGUGAAUAAUAACUUUUUUAGUGUUUGUCUUGAUUUGUAACGAGUAUAUCAAUUAUCAAGCAUGUUAACCUUUCAUCAAAUGAAGGACUCCACAUAAAAAUAGUAUAGGCUGUGGUGGUACAGACACAUACCAUGCUUGGCCGACUGUUGUGUAUUGAUCUAGUCGUUGAAGCGUCCUGAAAGUCUGGAAAUAAACAGGCAUGGCCAAAUGGAUUGGU